AACGCACAUUGCGCCCGCUAGUAUUCUGGCGGGCAUGCCUGUUCGAGCGUCAUUUCAACCCUCAAGCCCUCUGUUGGCUUGGUGUUGGGGCGUUACGGGUCCAGCACUCGUAAGCCCUGAAAUUUAGUGGCGGGCUCGCCUAAGUCUCCUUUGCGUAGUAAUUAAACGCCUCGCUCUGGGACUCGGUGGGUUACUCUUGCCGUUAAACCCCCUAUUUUCUUAAGGUUGACCUCGGAUCAGGUAGGAAUACCCGCUGAACUUAA
rnacentral:misc_RNA from 1 species